CACAAACCUAAGUUGAAGGUAUUUAUUUUGAACCUCAAGGUGAAUGAAUGAAAAAUUAGCAUAAAGUGAGAAUUAUUUUUUCUAUUUUUAUUUAGAGAAUAUUACCUGGAAAAUGUAGACACAGGAUCACAGAUUGAAUAUGGAAAGUUUUACAGUCAGACCUAAGAUCCAAUGCAGAAUAGAUGGUAGUGAUUUAAGGAGAAGGAAAUGGGAUAGUUUUAUUUUAAAUACUUUUAAAGUUAGAAUAUAAAUAUAAAUAUAAAUAGAAUAGAAAUAGAAUGGAAAUUUUGCAAAGUUCACACAUAUGUCCCUCACCUGAUCUCUCCUAAUAUUAACAUCUUACAUAACCACAGGAAAUGUCAAAAUGACCAAAAUUACUCAAGAAAAAUAGAUAAACUGAAUAAUCCUGUAUUUACCAAGGAAACUGAAUUUGCAGUUAAAAGUCUUCCGGAAAAGAAAGCUACAUGUUGGGAUCACAUAAGUAAGCAUGUCAUAUUUUAGGAGCUAUUGUACUAGAUAUUUUCUUAUUUUCAAAUUCCAAUUGUUCUUUCCUAGUGUUUAGGAGUAUUUGAUCCUUGUAUAUAUGGACCUUAUAUCUUGUGAGUUUGUUAAACUCAGUCAUCAGUUUUAUGAGCUUAUUUGUAGAUUCUUUAAGAUUUUCUACAUAGUUGAUUUCUACGUAGACAGUGUUGAUAGGUUCAAUUUUUCCUUUCUAAUUUGGAUUCUUUUAUUUAUUUUUCCUUCUUUAUUGCACUGAUUAGAACUUCAAGUACAAUGAAGAAUAGGAGUUGUGAAGAAUAGAAGAUACGCUUGCUAGUUAAUAAUCUUAGACGAAAUAUUAAAUCUCUCAGCAUUAAGUAAGAUAUUAACAGUAUAUUUUUUAAUAGAUGCCUUUUAUCAGGCCCAGGAAGUUUCCAUCUAUUUCUGGUUUGCUAUGACAUUUUAAAAUGAUAAAUGAAUUUUGAAUUAGUUUGCAUGUGUUUUCUGUGUCUACUGAGACAAUCUUAUGAUUGUUAUUAUUUAUUCUGUUGAUUGUUCAUUGUUGUUGCUUAUUCAUUGACUAUUUUCAAUUGUUGAACCAGCUUUGCAUUCUGGGAUAAAUCCCACUUGAUUCUGAGUAUUAUCAUUUCCACAUAUUGUUGGAUUUGAUAUGAUAUUAUUUUGUUGAGGAUUUUGUGUCUAUGUUCACAAGGGAUAUUAAUCUAUAGUUUUCUUUCCUUUUCUUCUGAGAGGAAAUAUUCACUCUUUUCUGAAAGGGUAUGUCUAGAAUAGACAUAUUUCCUCCUAUAAAUAUUUAGUAUGAUUUCUUUAUGUAAUAAUCUGGGCCAGGAGAUUUCAUUUUUGGAAGGCUUUUAACUGGAAAUUCAAUUUCUUCAAUAGAUGUAAGGUAAUACAGGUUAUAUUUCUUUUUGAGAGAAACUGUAUUCUCAAAGAAUUAUUCAUUUCUUCUAUGAUAUUAAAUUUAUGGGUAUAGAAUGGUUUUGUAGUAUUUUAUUAUUAUCUCCAGGUACAGUAAGUUUAAUGAAAUGAUUUUAAUAAUUGAAAAGCCCUGAGCAGGCUGGAUUUUUGUCUUACUUCUCCCUCUGUAUGAUGCUGUGAGAAGUGUCACUGUGCCAGAUUGCACAGUAAUAGUCAGCCUUGUCUUCAGGAUGGAUCCCAGAGAUGAGCAAAAGCCCUGCAUUGGCUGAAGCAUCUUUGAAUCCAGAGAAAUGGCUGGAGACCCUGGGGCUGUGGUGCUUGUCUCAGUCUGAAUGAAAUCUUAAGAGAUACUGGGGAGGGCUCCCUGACUUCUGCUGGAACUAGUAUAUGGUAUAGCUACCAACACUGAAGCCACUGCUCAGGGUGCAGCCACACAGGGGAUCUGCCCCACCUUCCAAGACUGAAAAUUGUGUACUACCAUGCCUGGGGCCAGCGCCAUCCAUCUGCACUCCUGAGAGAGCUGACAACAGCCUCGCACAGCAGAGAGCGUCAUUGAACCCCUGAAGCAACUGUGAGCCCCUAAGCCUAGCAAUCAGCUACUCUUGAGGCCUGACUCACUUAACAGCAAAAAAGCAGCUGUGUGCCAUUAAACCUUUCAGCUAGCCCUGUGGGGAAUUGCCCCACCCAAUAAAGGUGAAUAAAG
ensembl:lncRNA